AUUGAACGCUGGCGGCAUGCUUUACACAUGCAAGUCGAACGGUAACAGGCCGCAAGGUGCUGACGAGUGGCGAACGGGUGAGUAAUGCAUCGGAACGUGCCCAGUCGUGGGGGAUAACUACUCGAAAGAGUAGCUAAUACCGCAUACGAUCUAUGGAUGAAAGCGGGGGACCGUAAGGCCUCGCGCGAUUGGAGCGGCCGAUGUCAGAUUAGGUAGUUGGUGGGGUAAAGGCUCACCAAGCCAACGAUCUGUAGCUGGUCUGAGAGGACGACCAGCCACACUGGGACUGAGACACGGCCCAGACUCCUACGGGAGCCAGCAGUGGGGAAUUUUGGACAAUGGGCGCAAGCCUGAUCCAGCAAUGCCGCGUGCAGGAAGGAGGCCUUCGGGUUGUAAACUGCUUUUGUACGGAACGAAACGGCUCUGGUUAAUACCCGGGGCUAAUGACGGUACCGUAAGAAUAAGCACCGGCUAACUACGUG
rnacentral:rRNA from 1 species